GCUGGUGAUGACAACACACUUGCCCUCACUGAGAAGAGCGUUCACUGAUGAGAGCAGUUCCUUGUGCUCAGUGGAGCUGAGCCAGA
rnacentral:snoRNA from 1 species